GGCUUGAUGGUCUAGUAGUAUGAUUCCUUGUUAGGGUAGUUUAGCUGAUUAUAUCGAGGAGGUCCUGGGUUCAAUUCCCAGUCAAGCCC